AAGAGUAUAAGUUCAGAGAUCACUUCUGUAGAUCACUACUAAAGAAAUCUCAAGGAUGUCCAGUACCAGAAGCCAUGAAGAGGAGAGGCAGAAUUCUCUCUUGAGUAUGAAGCCAGCCCUUGGUGUUGCUUUCCUGAAACUGCCAUUAGCCAUUGAUGGUCAUUCUUCUGUCCUUUUUGGAGAGUAAGAGGGAGAGGACACAGUCUGAGGC